UAAUAAUAACAUGAUAGAUAAGUUUUUGCAAACAUGAUAAGUAAUAAUCCGUACGAUUCUUUCAAGAUAUUAGAAGAAUUCUUUCUAAAUUUACAAAGACAAUAAUUUUACCUUACUUUUGAUCUUAAAUCUGUAUUCUUAAAACCGAGUGACGUUCAGGCUCUGAAUCUGCAAACUGCUCCCUCAAACGGCCUUUUGCCUUAAUGGGAAUUUUGCUAUUUCAGCUUCUUGCCCUCACUGUAUCUUUUCUUAGAAUUAAGAAUAAGGAUUUUAAGUAGAGAAAAUUCUUUUUUUGUUAAAGUAAGAAAGAAAUUAUCUUCUUCAAUCUGUCAAGAAUCUACGGGAUUGGAAGUUUAGAAACUCAUAUUUUUCUGAUAUCAAAAGAUUGAAAUUUUAUUUUUAUAAUAAUUUAUACAAGAUUUCUAUUAUAUACAAGGGGUUUCCAGAAAAAUUGGUUUUAAAGAAAGCUUAAGGAAAGAGAAUGGUUUCUAACUCGAGAUGCUCCAUUCUUUCCCCCAAAUACCUCUAUUUAUACAUGACUCAAACUUGCUAU
rnacentral:lncRNA from 1 species